AGUGGGCGGGGCCUGGCGUGCGCCGGGUGGUCUCGCGGGCGGCGGCAGGGAAUCCAGUAUUUAUGUUCACUCCAAGACCUGAAUUUAUAUUAUAACAACAUUCCUUCAUUAGUGGAAGUGUCCCGUCUACAACCGUUACCCUUCCUCAAAGAACUGGAUUUGAGACUUAAUCCUGUUGUAAGGAAGGAUACAGAUUAUAGGCUCUUUGCUGUAUAUACACUACAAACUCUGGAGAAAUUAGAUGACCGAACUGUACGUGAAGGUGAGAGAAAAGCUGCCAAGCUGCAUUUUAGUCAGUUGGGCAACAGUGAAAAUUUUCUUUUAGAGGUGGAAAAAAGACGGAGUCUUGCUCUGUCACCCAGGCUGGAGUGCAGUGGUGCGAUCUUGGCUCACUACAACCUCCACCUCCCGGGUUCAAGUGAUUCUGCUGCCUCAGCCUCCUGUGUAGCUGGGAUUACAGCUCUAGGGAGAAGACAAUGAAAAACUGUGUAACAGGUGAGAGCUCUGCAUCAAAAGUCAGUGCUAAUGUUGACAGCAGGAUUGAAAUGG
rnacentral:sRNA from 1 species